UAAGGAAUAUUGGUCAAUGGACGCAAGUCUGAACCAGCCAUGCCGCGUGCAGGAAGACGGUCCUCUGGAUUGUAAACUGCUUUUGUCAGGGAAGAAACCUUCGGAUGCGUUCGAAGCUGACGGUACCUGAAGAAUAAGGAUCGGCUAACUCCGUGCCAGCAGCCGCGGUAAUACGGAGGAUCCAAGCGUUAUCCGGAUUUAUUGGGUUUAAAGGGUGCGUAGGCGGCGUUGUAAGUCAGUGGUGAAAGUUUGCAGCUUAACUGUAAAAUUGCCAUUGAUACUGCAGUGCUUGAGUACAGAUGAGGUGGGCGGAAUGUGUCAUGUAGCGGUGAAAUGCAUAGAUAUGACACAGAACACCGAUUGCGAAGGCAGCUCACUAAGCUGUAACUGACGCUGAGGC
rnacentral:rRNA from 1 species